UAUUAUCGUCAUCACAACAUAGAUUACGAAUCGUGUCAGGUCAGAAAUGAAGCAGCACUAAGAUAAAAUUUGUGUGUGUGGUGACUUUUUAUUUUAA
rnacentral:SRP_RNA from 1 species